UGCAUUCUGGGAUCCCGUUGGACUAGUGCUUCCAUUAAGAUCAAUCCAAAGCGAACGGAGUGUGCAAGAGAUCAUAAGGAGCCCACAGCGCAUCCAAAGGGCAGGGGCGGUUAGCGUCGAGCCUCGCCCAAGGCUUGCCUUUGCCGCUCCAAUGCAGGAGGCUGACUGGACCCGGAUGCAAAUCCCUACAAAGACCUCUGAAAUUAUCUCCGCCAAGGCCGUGCUGGUUCCAGCGAUGAUCAACCGGCGCUAUGUUGCCUGCAAAGACCAACAAGAAGGGCGGCAACGAACCCAGCUCGUAUAUUCUCAUCCUCUUCUGCAACUCCAUCCAUUCUUCAAUCUUGGUCGUGUAAUCCCCCGCCCUCCAUCGAUCAAGAUCUAUCACCAUCACCCCCGUGUUGAAGUAGCACGCCUUCCUGUUCGCGAACGUCAGUGACAGUGCAUGGCUUGACCAGAACGUUGGCGUAAAAUACGAUGUGAAAUUCGCGUUGCAGUAUUCUGGAGCUGCCAGCACCGAGCUGUUGCCCAGAUCAGUAGCUGCCAGUUUCGCGAUGUCGUCCACUAGCACUAAAUCUGAGUCGAGGUAGACGACACGCCGUACGCAGAGAGGCAGGAGGUUGGCUAAGUAGCUCCGGGCGUAGUUUAGCGGGCAGUCGAGGGCCGACCGGAUGGACGUGGAGAUGAGACCCGACACUGAUGAGUCGUCGAAAGGGUGGACUCGGAACUUCAGGUACGGGAAGGAGGUGGAGAUUGUGGCGCGUAGGAGUGACGCGUUGGCCUUGGCCGAGGCGACGAAAUGGAAGGCGAUGUUCUGAGGGCAGGAGGAGUGUUGGAGUACUGAGAGGAUUGCCGCCAUGGAGCCACGGAUGUAUGCACUGUCCAGGGUCAUUGCCACGUGGACUGCCUCGUCCGAACAAAAAAUGUGCUCUUCCCCUUCGUCUAGUUCGAAUUCAAUGCUACUGAUGGAGGGGC
rnacentral:lncRNA from 1 species